GAUGAACGCUGGCGGCGUGCUUAACACAUGCAAGUCGAGCGGACAGGCGAGGAUCUUGCUCCUCUCACGUGAGCGGCGGGCGGGUGAGUAACACGUGGAUACCCUACCUAUAAGACUGGUAUAACUACGGGAAACCGGAUCUAACACCGGAUAAGAUGGUGAACCACAGGGUUCAACAGUCAAAGACGGUCUUGCGGUCACGUAUAGAGGCUUCCGAGCCGGAUUAGCUAGUUGGUACGUUAACGGCUUACCAAGGCUAGGAUGCGUAGCCGACCUGAGAGGAGGAUCGGCCACACUGGAACUGAGACACGGUCCAGACUCCUACGGGAGGCAGCAGUAGGGAAUCUUCGGCAAUGGGCGGAAGCCUGACGCAGCAACGCCGCGUGAGAGAAGAAGGCCUUCGGAUCGUAAACCGCUGUUAUUAGGGAAGAACAACUGUGGACGUAAACAUGGAGGGCUUGACGGUACCUGAUGAAAAAGCACCGGCUAACUACGUG
rnacentral:rRNA from 1 species